UUUUUUAUUCAUUCUACCACUCUAUCUUUUGACAUCAGAGGUUAGUCCAUUUACUUUUAAAGCACUUAUUAAUAAGUAUGUACUUACUGCCAUUUUGUUCAUUGUUUUCUGGCUGUUCUUAAGUUACUUUGUUACUUCUCUUGCUCUCUUCCAUUGUGAUUUGAUGAUUUUCGAUAGUUGUAUGCUUAGGUUCCUUUCUCCUUCUCUUGUGUGUAUCUACUGUAAAUUUUUAAUUUGUGGUUACCAUGAGGCUUACAUAAAACAACUUAUAUUUACUGUAGUCUUCUUUAAGUUGAUAACAACUUAAGUUUGAAUGCAUUCCAAAGCAUUACACUUUUACUCUCCACCCUCAUGUUUUACGUUUUUGAUGUCCAUUUUAUAACUUUUAAUCUUGUGUAUCCCUUAAUUAUUGCCGUUAGUUAUUUUUACUAUUUUGCCUUAUAACCUUUAUGUUAGCUUUAUAGGUGAUUAAUUCCACCACCAUUACAACACUAGAUUAUUCCAAAUUGUACUAUAUAUUUACCUUUACCAGUGAGAUUUGUACUUUGCUAAGUUUUCUAAUUACUGCUUAGCACCUUUUUCUACUGAAAGGAGUCGCUAACAUUUCUUGUAAGGCUGGUUUAGUGGUGAUAAGCUCCUUUAGCUUUUGCUUAUUAGGAAAACUUUUUCUUUCCUUCAGUUCUGAAUGACAACUUUUCCAAUAAAAAUACUCUUUGAAGCCUUUUCUUUCAGCAGUUUGAAUUUAUCAUGCCAAUCCCUUCCGGCCUGCAAAGUUUCUGUGGAAAAUCUGCUGAUAGUUUUAUGGAUAUUCUGUUGCAUUUAUAAAGUUGUUUUUUUCAUGCUGCUCUCAAGUUUUUCUCCUUGUUUUUAACUUUUGACAUUUUAGUUGUAAUGUGUCUUUGUUGUGGACGUCUUUGGGUUCUUCUUUUCUGGAUGCCUUUGGGCUUCCUGGAUAUGGAUGAAGGUUUUAGCCAUUCAACUUCACAUAAGUUCUUCGUUCUUUUCUCUCUUGCUUCUCUUUCUAGGACUCCUAUAAUGCAAAUGUUGGUCUGUGUUAGUCUGUAUGAUAUCUCAUAAAUCCCGUCAGAUAUCUUUUUUACCUUUUUGCUGUUUUGAUUGGUGAGUCCCAUUGCUCUGUCUCUGACUUCACUGAUCCUUUCUUCUGCUUCUCCUAGUGCACUCUAGAACCCUUCUAGUGUAUUUUUUAGUUCAGUUAGUUUAUUCUUCAGCUCUGUGACUUCUACUGUCACUUUCUUGUAUUUUUACUUUUUAUUCUUUCUUGAGGUCCUCACUGUGUUCAUCCAUUCCUCUCCCAAGUUCGGUGAGCAUUAUUAUGACUGUUAUUUUGAACCCUUCAUCAGGUAAAUCCCUUACUGCAUUAAGGUUUUAUCCUGGGGUUUUAAUAAUUUGGAACAUAUUCCUCUGUUUCUUCAUUUUCCUUGACUCUCUGUGUUGGCUUCUGUGUAUCAGAUAGAAUAGCCACCUCUCCCAGUCUUGAAGGGUGGCCUCAUGUAGGAGAUGAAACUUACUGUUUGACUCUGCCCUAGCUCUUGAUUAUCUAACUAUUACAACUGUCCAAGGAACCUAUUUUAUUUUCAGUGGUUCUCAGUAGCUGAGGGUGUGCUAAGAUCUAUUGGUGUCCUGAAGGGAUGAAUCUGAGUACCAGAGUCUCCUACCUAAUUUUGCAGGACUACAGAUGUAAGUCUUGAUGGCUAACAGAGCCAGGCCAUCAGGAACUGUUCCCUGGGUGGAAGUUACAAAAAUCGGGCCUCUAGGUGAGUAUAAAGGCUCCUUUCUGGGUGAUGCUGAUGACCUGGAGUGAGGCGGAGAAACAGCCCAAAGACAGUGAGCACCAACUUAUGUUCCCUAAGAGCACAUUGUAGGCCUCUAGAUAUGUACCAAACCUGAAGCUUGCCCCUCAGGCCAAAGCUCCAGGACAAGAAAGUAGGCCUCUUACACAGAAAUACUAAGGAUGUGUUUCAGUCUGCUAUCUGUGUAGUACUCUGUGGAUGGUAGCAGGCUAGGAGCUGUAUCUUUGAAUGCUUUGGGUGGGCAGUUGAGUCUGAGCUCAUGACCUGUUCUGUUUCUCACUUUGAUAUAGCCUUAUGGGUCUUCAUGGACACAAGCUCUAUUGGCUUUCAAAGCUAGUUGUUUUGGGGGCUCAUUUCUCAGGUGGUCUUUAAGGUUGGGGUACUGAUGUGGGGGUCAAUUUUUUGCUCCUUAAGGAGAAGUCUCCUGAUGGUGGGCUGCCAUGUUGGUGGUGGGGUUUAUGGUUAGACUGUGUCCCAGUCUCUCCUACCCUCUUCAAUGCAGGCCUUCUCUCAUUUGCCAGAUGAAUAGGAGUCACUCAGCUAAUUUGUUUUUUCUUUCUUUCUUUCUAGAGGUAAUUUUUCCAUAUGCAGCUGUAGAUCUGGUAUAUCCAUGGGAUGAGUACCUGCUAUGUACCAGGCAUCUUGCUAAUACUGAGCACAGAGGUACUGACACAUCACUGCUGUGUAACACACACAGCUAAGUGGUGUGACCACAUCUGACAGGUAACCCACAAUGGCAGGAGAGCCCAGAGGAAAGGUCCCUGCCUUUGGCCUGGGAAGGGAAAAGUAGACAGAGACGUCUUCUUGGAGCAGCUGAUGCUUGACCUGGACCCUGAAGGUAUUCGCUCAGCUUCAAUUUUCUAAUCUGGAAAAUGGAACUGCCUAUCUUGAAUGGCUCUUGGGAAAACAGAAAUAAUACAUUCUUAUACAAACCCUUUGGGAUCAUAAAGCACAAGCUUAUUACACUUUGAAAGGAUUUGAGGCAGUGGCGUGGUCUAGAGAUAGCUUUUUCAGUGAGGAUUACAAGGACAGCUCAUCAGGGAUUUUUCCCAUCUAUAAAGGCAAGGACACUGAAUAAUACAUAUCCCAAAGAAUACAGCAGGGUCAGAUGGGGCCAUGGAAGCAGGGAAGAUUCUAAGCUGGAGGCAGAACUGCUAUCAUGAACACAAGCAAGGAGAGUUGACUCCCGUAACAGAAGACACUGAAGUCGAUGACAUUCUGUGAGCCACAGAGUCAAACCCCCACGUGAAUCCAAGCAGAAAGAGAAAGAGAAACUCGACUUCAGUUGAGAUUACAAGUAUCAUCAUUCUUUUUACAACCUUUUCUUGCAAGGAGAAUACAUCUGUGUACAUGCCUUGGACUCACUGUUAAGCAUCAGUGAUGAAUGAACAUUGUUCAACUCUCUUUAAGCCAACAAUGCUGCUCAAAUAAAUAAUAAACAGAAUUCCGGACAGCAUGCUCAGCAGGGACAUGUGAAAAGCAGUCAGUCAUGAUGUGAAAAGCAGUCAGUCAUGUUACGAUUCUUCGCUACUGUUACCAUGCCCUCCUAAUCAUUUCACAUGAGGUUUGAAUAGCAAAAGCUUUGGAAUAUACACCCAACCCUCAUUUACCUCCUCAUCCUUAUCCAAGAGAUGUCUAUAUUCAGGCGGGAUAGUGUCAUCUCUUUCUCCCAGCUUGUCUCUAUGUUCAGCUUCAGCUUUUUCCUGCAAAUGUUGAACAUAUAUAAUUACUAUCCAUAUAUAAUUACUGCCUUCCCUUAGAGAGUACAUUCUAAAAUGCAGCAUUCAACAUUUAUUAUACUUUCCUGAGGCAAAACAAAGGGUCUUUUAUAAUUUUUUAAACAACAGAACAAUGAGGUCAACAGACUCUGAGUUGAUGAAAAAGCAUAAAGCCACUGCUUCUGUAAUGUCAAGCCACGUGGGGGCAUUUUCUACCUGUAUUUUAAAUGGAACUAAAUGAUUAAAUCAUUAUGCUCAGAAACCACAUAAGGAGAGAAAACCCAAGGUUAUAAAAUACCUUCCUUUUAAUGUUUCACUUUUAAAAAAAAGUCAAGUUGAGGUGUACCUUGGCAGUUAGAGAUAGUACUGACAAUUUGGACUCUAUAAGGAACCAGAAGCAUCAGGAUGAGGAGCCAACCUCAAGGGACGUGCUGACUGCUUAUGUUGCAGAUAAAACCAAGAGAAGUUAAAGUGGGAAGAGAAUAAAAUUAAGACAGCAGAGCCGUGCUCUUCCAUCAUCACAAAGUCUGGUCUCACAAACAGGAUGUCUGCCUGAAUCUGAAACAGACAUUAUGGGGACCAUGGAAUAGGAAAAAAAGGAGACUGAAGUUAUCCAACUGUUCACUGACUCCAGGCAGAGUCUGAGUGGUUUUUCCCCUUUGUGUGGAGAGUAGAGUAUUCCAUGCUUAUCAAAAAUUUUCACUUACUAAUGACUUUUUUUUUUUUUUUUUUACCUUGACU